CAGCCCUUGACAUCCCGUGUUACCCAGAGAGAUUUGGGGUCCACUUCGGUGGCGCGGAGACAGGUGCUGCGUGGCUGUCGUCAGCUCGUGUCGUGAGAUGUUGGGUUAAGUCCCGCAACGAGCGCAACCCUCGCCCUUAGUUGCCAGCAUUUAGUUGGGCACUCUAAGGGGACUGCCGGUGAUAAGCCGAGAGGAAGGUGGGGAUGACGUCAAGUCCUCAUGGCCCUUACGGGCUGGGCUACACACGUGCUACAAUGGUGGUGACAGUGGGCAGCGAGCACGCGAGUGUGAGCUAAUCUCCAAAAGCCAUCUCAGUUCGGAUUGCACUCUGCAGCUCGAGUGCAUGAAGUUGGAAUCGCUAGUAAUCGCGGAUCAGCAUGCCGCGGUGAAUA
rnacentral:rRNA from 1 species